rnacentral:rRNA from 1 species
AUUGAACGCUGGCGGCAGGCCUAACACAUGCCAGUCGAACGGUAACAGGAAACAGCUUGCUGUUUCGCUGACGAGUGGCGGACGGGUGAGUAAUGUCUGGGAAACUGCCUGAUGGAGGGGGAUAACUACUGGAAACGGUAGCUAAUACCGCAUAACGUCGCAAGACCAAAGAGGGGGACCUUCGGGCCUCUUGCCAUCAGAUGUGCCCAGAUGGGAUUAGCUAGUAGGUGGGGUAACGGCUCACCUAGGCGACGAUCCCUAGCUGGUCUGAGAGGAUGACCAGCCACACUGGAACUGAGACACGGUCCAGACCCCUACGGGAGGCAGCAGUGGGGAAUAUUGCACAAUGGGCGCAAGCCUGAUGCAGCCAUGCCGCGUGUAUGAAGAAGGCCUUCGGGUUGUAAAGUACUUUCAGCGGGGAGGAAGGGAGUAAAGUUAAUACCUUUGCUCAUUGACGUUACCCGCAGAAGAAGCACCGGCUAACUCCGUG